rnacentral:rRNA from 1 species
GAUGAACGCUAGCGGCAGGUUUAACACAUGCAAGUCGAGGGGUAGAAGGAGCUUGCUCCUUUGAGACCGGCGCACGGGUGCGUAACGCGUAUGCAAUCUGCCUUUUACAGGGGAAUAGCCCAGAGAAAUUUGGAUUAAUGCCCCAUAGCACUGCAGGACGGCAUCGUCCAGCAGUUAAAGUCACAACGGUAAAAGAUGAGCAUGCGUCCCAUUAGCUAGUUGGUAAGGUAACGGCUUACCAAGGCGAUGAUGGGUAGGGGUCCUGAGAGGGAGAUCCCCCACACUGGUACUGAGACACGGACCAGACUCCUACGGGAGGCAGCAGUGAGGAAUAUUGGACAAUGGGCGCAAGCCUGAUCCAGCCAUGCCGCGUGCAGGAUGAAGCAUCUAUGGUGUGUAAACUGCUUUUAUACAGGAAGAAACCCUGGGACGUGUCCCAGACUGACGGUACUGUAGGAAUAAGGACCGGCUAACUCCGUGCCAGCAGCCGCGGUAAUACGGAGGGUCCGAGCGUUAUCCGGAAUCAUUGGGUUUAAAGGGUCCGUAGGCGGCCCUGUAAGUCAGUGGUGAAAUCUCCCGGCUCAACCGGGAAAUUGCCAUUGAUACUGCAGGGCUUGAAUUAUUGGGAAGUAACUAGAAUAUGUAGU